GGGGAAUCUUGCGCAAUGGCCGAAAGGCUGACGCAGCGACGCCGCGUGGGGGAUGAAGCAUUUCGGUGUGUAAACCCCUGUUGCUCGGGACGAACAACCCUUUUCGAGGGGUCUGACGGUACCGGGUGAGGAAGCACCGGCUAACUCCGUGCCAGCAGCCGCGGUAAUACGGAGGGUGCGAGCGUUGUCCGGAAUCACUGGGCGUAAAGGGCGCGUAGGCGGUGACUUAAGCGUGUGGUGAAAGCCCGGGGCUCAACCCCGGGUCGGCCAUGCGAACUGGGUCACUCGAGCACUGUAGAGGCAGGUGGAAUUCCGGGUGUAGCGGUGGAAUGCGUAGAGAUCCGGAAGAACACCGGUGGCGAAGGCGGCCUGCUGGGCAGUAGCUGACGCUGAGGCGCGACAGCGUGGGGAGCAA
rnacentral:rRNA from 1 species